AGUCUGUCUAGGAGCAGAGCUGAGAGCUGAGCACUGGGGGUGGGGUGGGGGUGAGGCUGUGUGCAGGGGAGGUGCAGGCUGGGCAGAGCAGCUGGAGAGCUUUUUGAGCUGGCUAAGGACCCUGGAUUUUCUUGCUACUCCGCAGACACACAGCAGAGGAAGGUGUGAGCCUCAUUGUCCCAUCACUUCUCCCCUGAGAGUGCUCCCUACCAGAGAUAAGGGCACUGACAGUUUCAGAUAUCCUAGCAGCAAGCCCCACUUUCCAGUAACUGAAGUCAUCUGCAGACACUGAGACCGUCCUUCGGAGGUGGGGCAGCUGAGAACCAUUGAAUACGGGAAGGCGUCUGAAGGCUCGUGGAAGCAGGGAUGCAGAAACACAUCCUCAUCACCUCCCGUCUCGCCUUCUCCCUCAGGAGAGCUAGAAGUACAGUCCUCCCAGCAAGGUCCAGGGAGAAAGAGCUUGGUUGGUGGAGGCUCACGUGUGAGCUGGAGAGAGCGUGGGUUUCUUCAUCUCCAUGGGGGUGAUGGGAUCCCAGUACUUCUGAAGUGGGACAGUGGGACUGAAGCCUCACAGACAGGAAAGGCACUCGUUCACUAACCACACCUGGGCAGAGAUGGCCACACUGAUGUUUUAUCAGGCGAUUUUGCCUUGAUCAGGCCAGCUGCUUCGGGGAGGUGGGAAGGCUAGCACAAAGCCUCUGUGAAUGCUUGCAUUUGCUCCUUGGUGCUCACUCAUGCUUCCUCAGAGCGAAAGCUCCCCACUCCUCCAGCGUGCUUGGGCACAGCUGAGUAGGCGGGACAUGACGUGCCAAUUUGCUCUUCCUUCCCCGAAGGCCGCUUCCAGACCAUAUUUUUUAAUUUACAGAAUUUCUUAUCUAUUCCCUUGUUAUCCUGGAUACCAAUAUUUCUGCUAGCCAGAGAAUCCUUCAAACAAGAAAGACCCGGACUACGAAUCUUUAGAAUACACUGCUCUUUAUAGCCCCAGAGCAGCAGGCUCUAUAAUAUGGGGGGAUGCCUAUGACGGGCCAGCUAUAAUCCCAACUGAGGGAGGGCAUCUGGGCAGUAGGCUGGGGUUCUGCUGAUAUCAGGUGCUGACCGUUCCAUAGCCAGUGUGCUUGGACCUGAGCCCCGAGGAAGAUGGGAGCAUCCUUCCUCCGGGAUUUUACCCAAUAACCUAUAUGAACAUUUUGUGCUGUCUUCCUGAUCUUGAGCUACAGGAGCAGUGGAAGCUGAAAGUGCCCUGGCCAGUGAGAUUCUUUAGCAGCUAAGCAACAGGCUGAAGUAGCUUCUGUGUUGGGCAAGGAGGCUUCUAACCAUCUGAGCCUACCAGUGGAAAAUCAAGCAGACCCGUAAAGCAAGACCUUACAUCCCACAGGCGUGGAGAAUUGGGUUAUGGCACUAAGCAAUGGAUUCCCAUCAGCCAAGGUAUUAGUUCACACACUAAGGGGUGUGUGAACUGGAUGGUAACCAUGAUGACCAAGUUAGAUCUCAUGGCGCUCCCAAAGUGUGGCCAGCAGCCGUGAUGCUUUGUGUCACCCUCCUGGGGGGGCUUGUGUUAGAAACCUUUCCUCAGCUUCCUCUAACCCCUUUGGAAUCCUUCCUUGCUGGGCAGCCCAGAGGCUGCCCUUUGCCAAUGACAUCAUGGAGCACCUUGCCCACUGGGGUUCCGUUGGGUGUGGUUAAUGGGAAGUGUUGCAGGAGAUUAGAGGGAAGAAGUUUGUUUUCUUUGGUUUCCAGGUCAACUCCUCUGGAAGGUCCUCAGCUUCUAGAGGAUGGUCCCCCUUCUUUGCAAAACUCUUUUUGGGUUCCAUUAACCACCCUGUCUCUUGUCUCUUCCUGUCUAUCCAGACAGUUUACUGUUACAAACCUCAGAGAGCUGUCCCAUAGGCUCCUCUUACCUCUGAAAUAUUAUGAAUCUCUUCUCAAAUCCGUCUGUUGCUGACAGACCCUGACUGAUCUACAGGGUCUGGCCAAUGGUGGCACUGCCUAGAACUCUCAACCCAGGGCAAAUGAAGCAAAACAGAAAUCAUGGCUGAGAGUUCAGCUGUAGUAGGUGUGGCAGGGACUGUGGCUAUGGGGUUGGGUCCGGUGUCAGCUGUGUCCUGUUGUAGUGGACAUAGCAGCCUGCCAAGGUCAUUUAUUCUGCUUUGGUCCUUGGACAGGGCCUUGGUUUUUGCUCUUUUUCUUUUUUUUUUUUUUUGUUCCAAUGUUUCAGCCUUCCAAUAAUUCCUUGCUCCUCCAACAUCAUUCCAGGAAAAAAAAUGAUGCUGAUGAAUUUUAAAGUUCAUGUAGUCGGAGAUGUCCUGAUGCCUGCCACAAUGAACUUGACUGAUACAACCCAACAAGCAGAUGCUUGGUGUCUGGCCUGAAGCAUUGUUUAGCGGGAUGAGAGAUUAUAGGGCUCUUUACAAGUGAUCACCUACCAUGUAUGUGGGUAAAGGUUGACUACACAACCACCGUUCUGUAAAAAUGUGUUAAUCACAAGAAACAUACCACAAACCAUCAGAAAGAUUUGGCCUAGAUGUCCUGGAGAUAUUGGCACAACAAACAAGCAAACAAAACUCCAAAACAAAAGAAAUUCACAAACAAACAACAAGACCAAUGGCAUGUUUCAGUCCGUUGACUUUUUACCAGACAAGAAAUAAAAACUCUUCCUGGCUUGGG